CACGUAGGGUGCGAGCGUUGUCCGGAAUUAUUGGGCGUAAAGAGCUCGUAGGCGGUUUGUUGCGUCGGCUGUGAAAUCCCGAGGCUCAACCUCGGGUCUGCAGUCGAUACGAGCAAACUAGAGUGUUGCAGGGGAGACUGGAAUUCCUGGUGUAGCGGUGAAAUGCGCAGAUAUCAGGAGGAACACCGGUGGCGAAGGCGGGUCUCUGGGCAACAACUGACGCUGAGGAGCGAAAGCGUGGGGAGCGAACAGGA
rnacentral:rRNA from 1 species